UCGCUUGGUCAGUUCUUUAGGUGUAAACGACAUCAACAAAAGAGCUGCACCAGGCAAUUGACUAGCAUUGCCUUUUCUCUCUCAAAAUUAAACCGCACAAUAAGACAGUGAAGCCACACAAGAUUAAUAAAUGGACCCAACACAUCAAGUUUAAUAAAUGGACCCAACACAUUCUUUUCGGUAAAAUGUCCAAUAUGUCAAAGAAUUAGUAGGCUUUACAUAACAACCAAUCAUCUAAAGUUUGGCAUGUUACAGUAUAAACUGAAAGUAAAAGGAAACCAUUAGAGGUGCAUUUUUCUUCUGAAACCAACUUAAAAAGUGUAAAUUUGAUAGAAUGUUGAUCUACUUUUAUUAUUAGAAGGCCUGUAGGUAAUAGGGUUGUAUAGACAAGUCUUUAUAGGAGACUUACCUAAAUUAGGAAUCCUAUUAGGAGGUAAUUACCCUAAUAAUAAAUAAUACGGCUAAUAAGAUACGUAUAAUAGGUUACUUAACUAAUCUGUAGGAUUCUCUACACUCCCCCUCAAGUUUGGUGUAGAUAUUCACAAGACCAAACUUGAACUUGAAGAACUUUAGGAGCUCUUGUGAUAAAGCCUCAGUGAGAACAUCAGCUGUUUGUUGCCUUGAAGGAACAUAGCUGACUUCUAGUAUUCCAGUUUCAACUUUUUCUGUAAUAAAGUGUCUGUCUAUCUCGACAUGCUUUGUUUUGUCGUGAUGGACAAGAUUCUUGACUAUGCUCAGUGCUGAUUGACUGUCACUGAACAAUGAUGCUUUUCCCUGUCCUGGAAGAUUGAGUUCUUUAAGAACUCGUUGGAUCCACAUUGCCUCCUGGAUUCCAAGAGCUAGUGCCCUAUAUUCAGCUUCUGCACUACUUCAGGCUACCACUGACUGCUUCUUGCUUUUCCAUGUAACUAGGUUUCCUCAAACGUAUGAACAGUAUCCUGUUGUUGACCUUUGUGAAGUAAUUUCACUUGCCCAGCUAGCAUCAGUGAACAUUUCUACUGAUUUGUUAUCAGUUUUCUUGAAUAAUAACCCGAGUCCUAGAGUCUUCUUCAGGUAUCUCAAAAUGCGGGUUACUGCCUCCAUAUGCUCUUCAGUAGGUUCAUUCAUGAAUUGACUCACCACACUAGUUGCAAAUGUAAUAUCAGAUCGUAUGUGGGAGAGGUAUAUCAGCUUACCAACUAACUGCUAAUAUCUACCCUUGUCUGUUAACCUUUUCGUUGUUUCUCUACUGAACUGGAGGUUUUGCUGCAUAGGAGUGUCAGCUGGUUUGCAGCUUGUCAUGUCUGUCUCAUCUAGAAAGUCUAGGACAUAGCUUAGGAUUCGACAUGGCAGUCUGUUGAUUAGGUAAGUAGCUGUUAGGACAGCCUCUCCCCACAAUUGUGUUUAGUGAACAUAAGUGUCCUAGCAGCUUCAAGGAGAUGUCGGGUCUUGCGUUCUGCAAUAACAUUUUGCUGUGGUGUAUCGAUACAAAAAUUGCAAUGUACAAUUCCUCGUUGAGAGAGAUAGAUACCUAAUUGCGAGUUAAAAUAAUCGUGGGCAUUGUCGGUUUCUAGGACUUGUAUCUUUGUGCCAAACCGAGUGAGAAUCAUGUUAUAGAACCCCUGAAACAUUGUUGUUGUCUCAGAUUUUGCCUUCAUGAGGAAAGUCCAAGUGAACCUAGUCUGGUCAUUGUAGAAUUAUAAUAGGAUUUGUAUUAGGGUGUUAUAAUCCUAGUGUUAUUAUUAGGUUAGUUUUUCCUUUCCUAGUGCGGAUAGUAUUAUAAUCCUAGUCCUAGUAGUACACCAACUUGUAGACUUAUAGCCCAAGACUCCUCUUCUAUAUAAAGGAUGCAUGUACAUACAUAUUAUUAUCAAGUUAUCAUUCAUUCACAAAUUCAACAGUCAUCUAUGAAUGUGAUGAACCAUCUGGGCCCGUUGAUAUUUCUCACUCUCAUUGGUCCCCAAAUAUCACUGUGGAUAAUAGCAAAUGAUUGUGUUGGCUUGUACUGAAGCCCAGGGUAACUUUUGUGGGUGUGUUUUGCCAAAUGACACACAUCACAUUAUAAAUCCUUGGAGCUUUUAUUGAGAAAUAACUUAGGUAACGAUUUCUAUAAAUAUCCAAAAUUAGGAUGCCCUAACCGAAUAUGCCUUAACAUUAUUUGGCUAUCAUCUCUAUUCAGAAUACUAGUGACUAAAGCAUGACUCUAUCCUUCCUCCCUCCUGGCUUCAUUCAUGAUAAAGAGGUCAUCAUGAAGGCUAGCAGUUCCAAUCGUCCUCCUGGAGCCUUCCUCCUACAGGGAACAACGAUUAGAACUGAAUAAGACUUCAUACUUUAGGUCUCUAGUGAUCGGACUUUAUAGAGAUUAAGUUGCAAUUUAACUUCGGGACAUAGAGUACUGGAAAUAACUCUGUGUUUUGGUUAAUCCGAACUCUGCCUAUUCCUUCAACUGCUGAGAGGCUACCAUCAGCUAUAUGUACCCCUGCUUUCUUAGGAUAGGUUUGAAAUUCGGUUAACACUUCCUUAGAACCAUUGAGCACAAGGUUUAGACUGAACCGAGUAUGCAUAAGAGUGUCUACCUUGACUAGCAAAAUGGCUAGAGAAGAUGUCUAGCAGAUUCUGUGACUAUGACUGAUUUUGGCACAUGAGUUUGAAGAAUUUCUCCAUUAUGGCAGUCUGUUCCUUCGAAAAAGGUGUGGCUUCUGGAAUAUUUUGUUGUGGCUACUCAGUGGCUGCUGCUAUGUGAGCUUUUCCUUUCUUCUUCUUAUCAAGGUUAGCUGGUUUCCAUCCCGGUGGACCCCAAUUAAGUACCAACACUCAGCCCUAGAGUGACCAUGACGACGGCAACAAUCACAAUAUGGAUCUGCGUCGUCAUCCCUUCUAGGCUGAUUAGGGUGUUGGCCCUAUUUGUUGUGGUAUUGGCCACGAACAGCCAUGGCUGAGCCUUCACCUGGAAUAGGUAAGUUGUUUGCAUUGUUUGACGUUAUCAUGAGUUCCCGUUCCUCUCCUAGGAUCUCUGUAGCGGCCUCCUCGAGGGUAGGAAAGGGUUUGGUGCUCGUAAUGCGAUUCUUAAUUCCGUCAAGGGUCUGGUUUAAUCCCAAAAGGAAUGUCAGGGUCCUCUUCUUUUCAAUAUAUUAUCUGAAUUUUUUCUGAUCAGCUAGAGUGUCCCAGUCUUGAGCUUCAUAACUAUCUAGAUGAAGCCAAUGAUGUCCCAACAGAUUGUAGUACUCCAUGACAUCUAUCUUCCCCUGAUGAAGGUGGAAGAGCUGCUGUUUGAUCUUGAACAUGGCAGACGAAUUGUCAACAGUUGAGUAAGUCUUCUUGGCGCAUCCCAUAUACCCUUGGCAGUCGGGUGAAGAAUGUAGUUCUCCCCGAUAUUUGGCUUCAUAGAAUUGAUCAACCAGUUGCGGAGCAUGUUGUUGUGCUCCACCCAGGUUUGGAACUAAGGAACAGUGCUCUCUAGUGCCUUGGUUGCACCAGUCAAGUACCCUCCUUUUCCUUUUUCUUUGAUGUGCAUCUGAACUGUCUUGGACCACUUGAGAUCAUUCUUUCCGUCGAGUUUGUGCAUAGUAAGGAAGCGAGAGUAAUCUGUGGUUGUCACUGGUGCCAUUGUGCUUUGGUUAUUCCCAGUAACACCCGCUCCUGUGCUCACAGAUACACUCAAGGUGCCUUCAUUCGUCAUUGCUUCAAUCGGAAAGAGUGACGGCAGAAGACUUUAGGAUUUAGGGUACAGAGAAGUCUCUGAUACCAUGUAGAUUUGAUAGAAUGUAGAUCUAUUCUUAUUAUUAGAAGGCCCGUAGGCAAUAGGAUUAUAUACACAAAUCUCUAUAUGAGACUUAUCUAAUCUAGGAAUCCUAUUAAGAAGUAAUUACCCUAAUAAUAAAUAAUACAACUAAUAGGGUACGUAUAAUAGGUUACUUAACUAAUCUAUAGGAAUCUCUACAAAAAGUCAAACCAACUUUGCUGCUUUUUGUCUCAAAAAUCUUAUAUACUCAAGAUACCUGAGGGGAAGAUAACUCGAGGAAAUACAUCCAACAACUUCUCAACUUUACUACGUGAAACCCUUUUCUCCUUGACCAAUCUCCGACGAUUUCUACAGAAAUAUAAUGAAAGGCAUUAGU
rnacentral:lncRNA from 1 species